UUCGUUCUCCAAGGUAAGCUAAACACUUUUAUUUCAAAUGUAAUUCGUGUGUUAACAUCAUAACAAAUGCCACUACCAUAUAUUAUGGAGAAUGUUAAUAACAAAGCAGGCCUUGCUAGCGAUAAUUUUAACUUUGCAGUUUUCUGUCGAGUCGGGUUUAGUCAGUAUAAUGUUAGAUAACGUUAGUUUACUAACGCGCCUAUACAUGUGCAAUGUAAAUGGAAACUAUUUAGCUAACUACCACUACCAAGCUAACCGACUUAUUAGCUAGGCACGAUUGAAGCUUAAUGCAUGCCAUACAUUUUUUUUUUUUUUUUUUUUUGCGUGUGUUGUAUAAUUUAAUCACAUGUGAUUGAUAAUCGAUAAAUGUAUGUUUUUUAUGAUAUGCACACUACAGUAGUUAGCUUGUAUGUUAGGAUGGACUACUAUGACAAUUAGCAAGUUAAAUAGAGUAUAGGAUCAGUUGUCAUAGCACUUCCGCACUACAGCGUGGUUAGGUUGUAUGGCGGGAGAAAAGCUGCCAUCAGGGGUAACUACAUUAAUUAUCCGUAGUAAAACUAAUUAGACCAUUUUUAAAUAACUGAAUGUUCAUUUAAAUUAUUUAAACAUUAUAAUGGACCUACUGUAUAGGUGUUUUAUGUCGUAGAACAACUUCAAACAUCUUUAAAUGCUUGAAAUCAUUGAUUUUCACUGGUAGUUUAAGAAAACGCUUGACUACAAUGUAGGCAACACAAUCCCAAUUAUACCAUAUAAAGACUAUUAAUGUGUUAUAUCUGACAGGCUAAGAACUAACUACUUUGUCAUACAAUUGGCAAUGGGUUAUUUACUGCAUUUAAACUUAUGUCUCUUGCUACUUAGGUUUUCACUCAUGGAGAGAAGAACUUGGACCAAUCCAGGAUGCGGAGUACCAUAUCCAAGCGGGGAUUGAUAAACCAUGUCUCCAGCGUUUUAUCAAUAAUUUUAAAGCAUUGAUGCAUGUGAAAAGGACUCCUCUCUUGGGAGACUUGUUGAUGACGACCACAGAAGACCUAUUUUUGCAAAAUGAAAACCAUAAGUAAAGAAACCACACUUGUCUCUUCGCGAUUCGAGAUAUUACACCUGGAGAAGAACUGACGUCAACAACGUGACUCAAACUGGCCAUGGAGAGCACAGCCCCCAAAACACACUUCACUGGCACGAC